rnacentral:rRNA from 1 species
AUGUUGCUUACUCAAAUGUUUGUGGCAAUUGUAUCCUUGUACCAUGAAUAUUUGUACUUAGCAGAUCAAUAUAAACAUAUUGGCUAUCUAUUUACCAAUUCAGAAUUUAAAGCACUUUAUUUUAUGGCCUUGAGUAAAAGUUCAGUCGUUGUUGGCUGGAAGACAUCUUCAAUACGCCGUCAACACGAGCUUCCCAAGGUAAUGAUCUAA